rnacentral:tRNA from 1 species
GAGGGUAUAGUUCAGUGGUAGAACGCAUGCUUAGCAUGCACAAGGUCAUGGGUUUGAUCCCCAGUACCUCUG